rnacentral:rRNA from 1 species
UACGUAGGUGGCGAGCGUUGUCCGGAUUUACUGGGCGUAAAGAGCGCGCAGGCGGCUGGUCAAGUCCGAUGUGAAAGCUCCCGGCUUAACUGGGAAAUUGCAUCGGAAACUGAUCGGCUGGAAGGUGGGAGAGGGUAGCGGAAUUCCCGGUGUAGUGGUAAAAUGCGUAGAUAUCGGGAGGAACACCAGUGGCGAAAGCGGCUACCUGGCCCAUUCUUGACGCUGAGGCGCGAAAGCUAGGGUAGCAAACGGG